AGCUUUUUGAAUAUAUAAAAAGUAUAUCCUGCCCGGUGAAAUUUUAACGGCCGCGGUAUUUUGACCGUGCAAAGGUAGCAUAAUAAUUUGCCUUUUAAUUGGAGGCUGGAAUGAAAGGUGGUACGAGAAUAUAACUGUCUCUUUAUUUUUUUUAUAAAUUAAUCUAGAAGUGAAGAAGCUUUUAUAUAAAUAAAAGACAAGAAGACCCUAUCGAGCUUUAUAUAUAUUUAGUAUGUAAUGUUAAAUAUACUUUUUUAUUGGAUAUAUAUUUGGUUGGGGCGACUAAGGAAAAUAUAAAUCUUCCUAUUAAAAGUUUGAAAAUAUUUCAUUAAAUUGAACCUUUAGGGUUAAAUGAAAUAGUUACCGUAGGGAUAACAGGCUAAUUUUUUUUGAGAGUUCAUAUUGAUAUUAAGGAUUGGCACCUCGAUGUUGGCUUAGAAUAUCCUAUAGGUGCAGCAGCUUAUAAGGGUUGGUUUGUUCAACCAUUAAAAUUCU
rnacentral:rRNA from 1 species